ACCAGUAAAACCUAGUAUUUCUGCUCAGCUCUGUCUUUACCACUGCAGACUGUCUGCAUUACACCAGGCCGUCUGUCAUUCUUAAACUCUAUCUUUCCCCCAAAUACCUGAACUUCACUUGAGGAAAUAACUCCUGUAAAGCCCUUUUCUAGCUUGGAACUAUGGUUUCAGACUUGGAGGUGCUAAGUUAUCACUUGACUGCCAAUCGCCACAGUGCAAGCCCGAGGUCACUGCUCGAUGAAGCCAACCGCAGCACCGUAUCAUCCAUCAAAAAUUAUGAACAGAAUUGGUGAUAAAUAGCAGCCCUGAUGUUGGAAUACACCCACUAGUGACAACAACACUGGCUUAGUGCAAUGUGAACCAAGCUCUCACCAUAGCUGUACAGGAACCAAAAUUAUCUUUGACAACAUGAAAUUCCAGUUGUUAAACUAAUUUAAACAUAUUUGGAUCAGUCCUACAUACAACAGAAACAGAGCACCAUCAAUCUAAUACACAGAUUAAUUUUACUCUCCUGGAAUGAAUAGUCACACUUAUGUCAAACAAGUGGGAUGUUAAAGGUCCUGAGAUGUGUCAGCGUGUCAGCUGAGAACUGGACUGCUAUUUCUGAAACUCUGCAGCUCCGAAAGAAAAGUGCCAAGAAGGUUGAAGAUGACCGCCUGCAGCAGAACAGAAAAUCUGGCAGCACCUGUCUCUGCUGCUGAGCAGGGGGAUCUCGACCCGCAGACCACCAAGGCUGCUAGAUGUUAGCCGAGAUUACAUCACUCAGAGUUUCAUCCAGGCCUCAGUCGUCAGCUUCACCACCAACACCAUCAUCUAGACUCCAGGGAGUCUUUUCUUAUAUCUUAUCACUGUUCUGUUCUACUAUGAUGGGUCAUCGGAGUCUAAUCAUCAAUUACAUUAUUUUUCUAUAUCAAUAAAUCAUGCUUAAUUCUUCCAAACUAUUUUUUCUCAUUGAACUUACAAUGUUUAUUCAGCUGUUUAUUUUUUCCAUCAUUUAUUUUUUAUUUUUUACUUUGUUGAUACUAUAGAGCAAGAAUGGGCUUCUCAUGUUAUGCUUUAGAGUUGUCAUCUUCAUUUGGUGUGAUCUAACCACCGGUGGCUAUUAGAUGGUGCAGCACCAAAAACUGCAAAACAUCAAUUGGACAUUGGUGCAGUGGUUAGCCUGAUUCUUGGUUUGACCCAAAACUAGUAGAUAAUAUAGAAGUAGAAGCUUCAACAUUAGCAUUUUGGCUAAUGCUUGUAAGCCUGGUUAACAUUAAUAAACUGUGGGAGUAAGCCAUACAUCAUCAUAUUAUUCAUCAGUAAUUGGGAAAUACAGAAAAAGAAUGCUAUAAUUUCUCUAAUUUCAGGUUACUUGUCAGUGAACCUGUUGGCCAGCUAAAAGUGUGUGAUAUAUAUUAGCUAGCUAACUAGACAGCCUUCAGUUAAUACAUUUUUCUUUUGGGAGAUAUUUUGGAUUUUUUCCAGUUUAGUUAAGAACAGUGAGUUAUUCUCUAAAAAGUAAGUUCCACUAUGCUUUCUUGUCAUCAUCUUUUUGUAAAUGCAAUGCUCUUUAGGACCAUAUAAAUUAAUAAAAUAUUACUUGCUGCUGAUUAAUAAUUUUAUUUUUAAUCUUAUUUCUUCAGAGAAAAUAGGUGCUGUGGCUGUUGAGCACACCAGCAGGCAACAAUCUCAGUUACAGUCAACCAUCAAUACAAUUUUCUCUGCAUUGCUUAACUUCUUUCUGAUAACUCAUCCAUGUGCUGAAGCAGUUGAAGAACUCUCGAGCUUUUCCUCUUUCUGCUAUAGCAAAACCUGCAAUCCAUCACCAACUUCCUGUUUGUGCAGAGGCUCAGUUUACAUGCUUCCUGUAUAUGCCAGAGGACUUCCCUCACGACACUCUGGAUGCACCGACUCUUUCAACAGCCUGCUUAUCUCCAAGGCACAGAGUGACACAAAUACAGGCUUAAGAUUCCCUGGUGACAGAUGCACACACCUCAAAAGAAAGGCAUCUUUACA